GAUCCUGGCUCAGGAUGAACGCUAGCUACAGGCUUAACACAUGCAAGUCGAGGGGCAGCAUGACGAUAGCUUGCUAUUGUUGAUGGAGACCGGCGUACGGGUGAGUAACGCGUAUCCAACCUUCCCGUUGCUAGGGGAUAACCUUGCGAAAGUAAGACUAAUACCCUAUGAAGUUCUUCGCAGGCAUCUAAAGAGAACGAAAGAUUUAUCGGCAACGGAUGGGGAUGCGUCUGAUUAGGUUG
rnacentral:rRNA from 1 species